ensembl:lncRNA
UGUCUCCAUCAGUUGGUUCUUCUCUUCACGGAUGUCUUUCCUCAGACUGCACCAAACAAAUUCCUUACCACUUAAUUUAUCACCCUAAGAAGCUGGGUGUCCACAUUGUCCUCUGUGACUCCAUCUUGAAUUACUUAGUGCACCUUAACUUCUGUGAGUUUCCCACGAGAUGAGUGGGGAUCAUAACACAAAAGAAAUCAUAGUGAAACCGCACUCCUGAAGCCGAAGCGUAUGCUUCCUGUUUAUGUUUUUAAACUACAUCAGUGUGUGUCAGUGAGAAUGUAUACUAGAAUCUGGUGUGUUUUUAAGGAGUACAUAAAUGCUCUCUGCCUAAACAAGUCCGUUUGCAGAUAGCUUUCUGUGCUUACUAUUAUAUUUAUUAUACAUUAUGGAUAAAUCCUAGUCUACUUUAACUGCUGCAAAAUAAUUCGAUUCAAGGGAGUUCCUGUCAUGGCUCAAUGGUUAACAUAUGAGCAUCCAUGAGGACGCAGGUUUUAUCCCUGGCCUUGCUCAGUGGGUUAAGGAUCUGGCAUUGCUGUGAGCUGUGGUGUAGGUCGCAGACACGGCUCAGAUCCCGCGUUGCUGUUGCUGUGGCUCUGGCGUAGGCUGGUGGCUACAGCUCCGAUUGGACCCCUAGCCUGGGAACCUCCAUAUGCCACCAGUGUGGCCCCAAAAGACAAAAAACAAAAAAAAACAAAACAAAACAAAAUAUUCUAUUCAAUCACGUUCUUUGCAUGUGUGUGCUUGUGCAUAUGAACUCAGGUGGAUUUGUUGAGCCUUAGAGCAUGUAUGUCGUUAUCCUCACUAUCUCAUAUAAUAGUGAUUAUACCAGUUUUUACUCUACCCACAAAGUAUGAGCCUUUAUUUGUCCAUUCCCCUCUCCCCACCCCAAAAGAUUAUUAAAAAAACAAAACAAAACUAAUUCAUGAUCUUUGUUAAGUGGUAAGGAAACUUUAUUCCGGAAGGGACUGCUGCACUGGGUUUUGUAAUAAGGACUGGGAUCAAGCUCAACUCCAAAGACAAGCAGAGAUUUAUAGCUAUGAAGUGGUGGUGGGGGGGGGGGCAGUGGUUGGAAAAUUAUAAAGAGGAAACAUCAGGAAUAAGAACCCACCCCCUACAGGAUCUUGCUGAAGGCAGACCAAAGUGAUCAGACACCCAGUAUAGGGGAUUUUCAUUAAUCUGAUCCAGCGGGAUUCUUGUUAAAACUGGAUUGAGAGGGUCUUGGAUUCAGCCCAAAGUUGGGGCCUAGUCGGAGAGAGGAGCUUGGCUCCUUUGGUUCUGGGAGAGCCUUUGCCAAGCUUCCCUCACACUCCCGGGUCAGGUGGAGGAGGAGAAUGAGGACAGCAGUGUCCUGGGAGUUGGAGAUGGAGCAUCUGGAAGGAGGGGGUGUCGUGGUCAGUGCAUGAGGGUCAGAAGAAUUUUUGGAUGCUUGUCAGUGUGAAAAAGUUGAGUUUACUGAGAUAAGAGACGCUGCCAGCGUAGCAGGAGGACUUCCUGAUAGUCAGGGAGAGCUGAUGCCGAAUAGAAAGAAGAGUUUAAGACAGAGCCAACACAGAGUAUGUGGUCUUGUCUGCGUUUUUAUACCCAGGGAGAAGAGAGGUCUCGUAUCCACCUGCUGGUUGGUUGGGGGCAUAUAAGGGCCCUAUGGGGGAUGAGGAGUGGGCCACAUACCUUUCUUCAUAGGGGCAGGAAGGAGUAGGCCAGGUUGUUCAAGGUGGGGGAGGGGGUGUUACAAUGAGAUGGGUGGGGCCGUGGUAGGGUCUGCUGAUUCUUGUUUUGGCCAGGGUCUUUGAAUUCAAUCUUUUUUUUUUUUUUUUGCCAUUUCUUGGCCGCUCCUGUGGCAUAUGGAGGUUCCCAGGCUAGGGGUUGAAUCGGAGCUGUGGCCACUGACCUACACCAGAGCCACAGCAACGCCAGAUCCAAGCCACGUCUGCGACCUACACCACAGCUCACGGCAACACCGGAUCAUUAACCCACUGAGCAAGGGCAGGGAUCGAACCCGCAACCUCAUGGUUCCUAGUCGGAUUCGUUAACCACUGUGCCACGACGGGAACUCCGAGUUCAGUCUUCUUGAAGCCAAACAGGGUGUUCAGCUGAACCAAGAAUGCUGCAGAGAAUAAACUGACUUCUGAAAAGCAUAGUAAUGAUUGAUCUCCUAGAGAGGAGAGCCUGGUGAUUGGUGGGGGCACAGUCAUGUUGGGGGGCAGAUGAGUGAUGAGAUAGAGGCAGCAAAUUAGGCGACUCUUAGAUACCCUGUGGCUCUGCGGGGAGGAGGGAGAGGCUGAUCCCCAGUGGCUCAAGGAUGGUUCCCGUCAGAAUUAGAGCAGGGAGAAAUGGGAAAACCUUGGGAAGACAAAAAUAUGGCUGAAAUCCUGCCAAAGUAGGUGGGAUGGGAUCCAGAGAAUGGGCCUUUCUUAGGAGGGAAGAAAUAGACGGGUGUGAUGCAGGACGAUGUAUGGGUUUGGUGGCCAAAAGUUGAGGUGGUUCCCAUUUGUUGCCAUUUAUUUUCUCUAGAAGUCAUAACCCCAGUGAGGGGUUAAGCAUUGAGUGCUCUGAGAUAAUAAUUUCAGAAAAUGGAAAGGGGACUGAGGAGGAGGCUGUGCGUGUGUGUGUGUCUUGUGAAUGCAGGCUCAAAAGGUAAUCCUUGGGCACAUUCUUGGUUAGAGUUUUAAUUGUACUUCCAAUAAAAUAGAGGAAGGAUUUGAUUGCCAAGUGGCAGCACGAGAGAUUUUGGGGAGGGACGGAUCUAUUCUGUGAAGAUUUGUGUUGGAUACACAACUCUUUGCAUCUGUCAAAACGCAUGAAACCAUACACUGCAAAGAGUGCAUGUUAUUUUAUAUAUAAAAAUGAAAUUGAACCAGCCUUAUGUAGAGGAGGAUGAAAUGCCAGCUGUAGCAAAUGAACUUGUGUUACAAGUUCGGAUUUUGUGAUUUACAUUAAUGUUAAAAAAUCAAAUUCAGCUGAGUAAACUUGAAGAUUGUUCACAAUUAUGAGACAGGUAUCAGCCCUUCUAGUAAUGAGAUCAUUCCUAGGAAUUGUCCAAAUCGGGGACAAUUUGGGCAAAAGCAAACAAGAGCUGUGUGGGGUGGGGACAUCUGGGAGAAGGGAAUGUACCAGGACUUUAACCCGCAGAGCUGCUGCUUCUGCCUCUGGGUGGGAAGGGAGGGUGGUGGAGAGGGCCCACGUGACAGACUAUCUCUUAGGUGCUGACCCGAAAAUUCCAAAUGGGUCGAUUAAGAUUUCUGGGGAGGAGGUCCCGUUGUGGCUCAGUGGUUAACAAAUUCUGCUAGGAACCAAGAGGUUGCAGGUUUGAGCCCUGGCCUUGCUCAGUGGGUUAAGGAUCCAGCAUUGCCGUGAGCUGUGGUGUAGGUCACAGACUCGGCUUGGAUCCCACGUUGCUGUGACUGUGGUGUAGGCCAGCAACUACAGCUCCGAUUAAACCCCUAGCCUGGGAACCUCCAUAUGCCA